rnacentral:rRNA from 1 species
UACGUAGGUGGCGAGCGUUGUCCGGAUUUACUGGGCGUAAAGCGCGCGCAGGCGGAUCCGUCAGUCCGGGGUGAAAGCUCACGGCUUAACUGUGAGAGGUCCCCGGAUACUGCGGGUCUUGAGGCACCUAGAGGAGAGUGGAAUUCCCGGUGUAGUGGUGGAAUGCGUAGAUAUCGGGAGGAACACCAGUGGCGAAAGCGGCUCUCUGGGGGUGUCCUGACGCUGAGGCGCGAAAGCGUGGGGAGCGAACCGG